GCGAAGUUUCACCUUCGACUAAAUUCAUUUGGUCACUCAAUUAAAAUGAAGAGUAGUAAAGAAAUAAAGAAAACCAGAAAAGACUAGCUAAGGGAAAAUAGAAAAGAGGAGGACCUACUCUACUGGAAGAUUUAUCCCAUCUAGCACCAUAGCAGACCCAGCCCACACAGGCCUCCUUCUGCCUCCAGCUACAGGAGAGAGAGGUCGUGGCGUCAUCCAUGGCGCCUUGGCCAUGGAUGGCCUCCACGUCGCCCUCCCCACGACCUAUAUGGAUGUCGACCGAAACCCUAGAGCACUCCCUUCCUUUCCCCCCUCAAUCCCCCUGCGCCCCCUACAUCUACUGCUCGGAUUUGAGCUCGGAAGAUCCGCGGUGACCGCUGCCUCUCCGUUGAUUGAUGCAUCCACAGGCCCCUCCGGCAUGCGAGGGCACGUCCUGGAGGUCCGUCCCGGUCGACAGCGUCCGUUCCGGCCGUUGGAGCAAGCAGGGGAGCCGCGUAGAAGGCGUCAUCGUCUUCUUCUUCGUCCGGCCAUCUCAACCCUCCGUCACCAGCGCCUCUCCGGUCCACCUCAGCCUUACUCAAGCACCUCUUCUGGCUCGCGGCGAUGGAGUCCAAGAGCCAGACGACAUCGCUGACGAUGACUCCUACUACUCUGGAGGUGCCUACUACUACAUGCAGCCCGCUGACGAC